rnacentral:rRNA from 1 species
AGUGAACGCUGGCGGUAGGCCUAACACAUGCAAGUCGAACGGCAGCACAGAGGAGCUUGCUCCUUGGGUGGCGAGUGGCGGACGGGUGAGGAAUACAUCGGAAUCUACUCUGUCGUGGGGGAUAACGUAGGGAAACUUACGCUAAUACCGCAUACGACCUACGGGUGAAAGCAGGGGACCUUCGGGCCUUGCGCGAUUGAAUGAGCCGAUGUCGGAUUAGCUAGUUGGCGGGGUAAAGGCCCACCAAGGCGACGAUCCGUAGCUGGUCUGAGAGGAUGAUCAGCCACCCUGGAACUGAGACACGGUCCAGACUCCUACGGGAGGCAGCAGUGGGGAAUAUUGGACAAUGGGCGCAAGCCUGAUCCAGCCAUACCGCGUGAGUGAAGAAGGCCUUCGGGUUGUAAAGCCCUUUUGUUGGGAAAGAAAUCCAGCUGGCUAAUACCCGGUUGGGAUGACGGUACCCAAAGAAUAAGCACCGGCUAACUUCGUGCCAGCCGCCGCGGUAA